rnacentral:rRNA from 1 species
UGGGGAAUUUUGGACAAUGGGCGAAAGCCUGAUCCAGCAAUGCCGCGUGUGUGAAGAAGGCCUUCGGGUUGUAAAGCACUUUUGUCCGGAAAGAAAUCCUUGGCUCUAAUACAGUCGGGGGAUGACGGUACCGGAAGAAUAAGCACCGGCUAACUACGUGUCAGCAGCCGCGGUAAUACGUAGGGUGCAAGCGUUAAUCGGAAUUACUGGGCGUAAAGCGUGCGCAGGCGGUUUGCUAAGACCGAUGUGAAAUCCCCGGGCUCAACCUGGGAACUGCAUUGGUGACUGGCAGGCUAGAGUAUGGCAGAGGGGGGUAGAAUUCCACGUGUAGCAGUGAAAUGCGUAGAGAUGUGGAGGAAUACCGAUGGCGAAGGCAGCCCCCUGGGCCAAUACUGACGCUCAUGCACGAAAGCGUGGGGAGCAAACAGGAUUAGAUACCCUGGUAGUCCACGCCCUAAACGAUGUCAACUAGUUGUUGGGGACUUCAUUUCCUUAGUAACGUAGCUAACGCGUGAAGUUGACCGCCUGGGGAGUACGGUCGCAAGAUUAAAACUCAAAGGAAUUGACGGGGU